GUCUGCUUCCCCAUCUUUGAUCACAGGGUGUCUCUCAGACUUGCCUGACAGGGCAGGAACUAUUUUUGGUCCGAUGUUCAUUCGGUAUGAUUCGUGCUCAGCCCAGGUGCCAAAAUGAGCUGGCAGCCUCUAUGUGACCAUUGUGCAAAGCAGCAUAGAGAGGAGACGGUCCCAGAGCUUCCCCGGUGUCACUGCUGCUUGCUGUGGCUUGAAAUGUGUCUCCUGGGUGGGGUUGCCUUUUGGGUGUGUUGUCUUCAAGUGGAAAUCAGAACAGCCCCUGGUGAGUGUACUACAGGGGAGGCUUCCUUGCACACCCGGGUCAAGGGCCUUACUCAUGUUGAGUAAAGGUGACCCCACCAAAUUCAAUAGGACAGCUUCCAGAGUGACCUGUGGUGGGAUGUGAGCCUGGCAGGAGUCCUCUGGCAAAAAGUCCACCUUUCCCUUGCCAUUGGUGUCAUGUAAAAGGGCACAGCAUGGUGUCACUCCUCAGCUGGCAGCCACUCUGCUUGGAAGGCACAUAACCAUAAGCUCACUGGACACUAUUUCUCUUUCCUUCCAGUUUAUCCUUCUUUUUAGAAGAGCACCAGGAGAAAUAUCAAAUGUAGUCCUUCUGAAUCCUACUUUAGCCCUUCUGGAUCCCCCACAGCCACAAGCUGUUUCCCAAAACCCUCCAGCAAACCUCUGGCUGGUAGGACAGAAGACCAAAGAUGUGCAGGGAUGACUGUGAAAGCCUUACACUGGCAUUGGCAACCUGCAGGAAGCUGGGUGCCAAGCUCUAGCAGGGAAAAUCUGUCACAUACGAGUGCAUGUGUCUACACGUGUGGAUGUGGGACUGAAAUAACUCCCAUCACUUUCCUUAUAUCAGCCUUAAUAAGUGGGGCAGCGCCUACCAAUUCCAUCUCAAGUUUCCUCCCUCUGAAAUAUGUGCACUUUCACCAGCUGAUGUUUGGCACAGGGUAAUUACUAUAGUGCUAAUUUUACCAGAGAUGAUGAAAACACUGAAACAGCCUAACCAUAUGAAGGGAGGAGAUGCAUAUUGCUGAUUGCUGAGUCUUCUGGAUCCUUUUUGAGCAUGGGAAAUCAUGUAUUUGACUUGUAGAUUUUCUCCUUGGGGAGGCUUCUUCUUACAGAGCUAGCUGACACACAAGUGGGGUUAGAAAAGAGCAAGGUCAGGGAUAGUUGUGUGUUGGAAAAUAAAAAGCACUGAGCA